AUACAUGCAGUGAGCAGAGAUGGGACUGGCUGUAGCUGUGCCUACAUGAAGCUGUAAUUGAUGUCUCAUCCUGAUAUUCUUGAUGUAUAUAGUUGAUUUUGGACACCUUAAUAUCAACUGAAGUGACUUCAUGCAGUCAAGGGUCUUCUACCCUCUUUUGUUUGAUUUGAUUAUCAUGAAAUACAGAUUGGCCUAUCAUACCCAAUAGAACCGCAA